rnacentral:ncRNA from 1 species
GUACACGCAACGAACGGGAAAAGUAAGGUCAUUCAUGUCGCACAGAGAGCUGCGGGUUGGUGCAACGCAGCCGGAUGAACCCUGAACUCGCCCGGGAGCGGUAAAACUGAACAACGCCGGCAAGCCCGUCCCGAACCCGUGAGACAGAUGUCCCAUCGGUCGGGUCAGAAGUCUUCGAAGCAUCCGGCGAAGUAAGUUUUAACGGCUGGCCCCCGUGAUCGGGCAGCGAUUGGAACGUCCCGGUAUCCGGAUACCGGCCGACUUGUUUCCAAGAGCAUCGAGUGGAUUCGCCUUACGGCGGAUCAAUGAGAGUGGUAACGCGGAAGGCUAACGGCCUGUCGUCUCUUAA